CCUACGGGAGACAGCAGUGGGGGAUAUUGCACAAUGGGCGGAACCCUGAUGCAGCGACGCCGCGUGGGUGAAGAAGCCCCUCUGCGCGUUAAGCUCUGUUAGUAGGGAAGAAAAUCGCGGCACCUGAAGAAUACUCCACGGCCAACUACGUGCCAGCAGCCGCGGUAACACGGAGGGUGCAAGCGUUAUCCGGAUUUACUGGGUGUAAAGGGGGCGCAGAGGGUGAUGCAAGCCAGGAGUGAAAGCCCGGGGCCCAACCCCAGGAGUGCACUUGGAACUGCGAGGCUGGAGUGCAGGAGGGGCAGGCGGAAUGCGUGGUGUAGCGGUGAAAUGCGUAGAUAUCACGAAGAACCCCGGUGGCGAAGGCAGCCUGCUGGACUGUAACUGACGUUGAGGCCCGAAAGCGUGGGUAGCAAACAGGAUUAGAUACCCGGGUAGUC
rnacentral:rRNA from 1 species